ACAUGCCUACAACAUAGUGUUAAUGCAUUAGAUCCCAUUAGAACUUUGCAAUUAAGCACACUCAUGCUAGAGUAGUACUGGGAUGGGUGACCGCUCGUGAAGUACUAGUAUUUUACAUGCC
rfam:Picea glauca, whole genome shotgun sequence.